CACCAGUGUUGAGGAGUGGGGAAGCUCAUUUCCCAAGUCCUGCUGGCCACACUAUUUCUGACACAAGACAGGAUGCCAUUGGCCUUCUUGGCACCUGGGCACAAUGCUGGCCCAUGUUCAGCUAACUGUUGAACAGCACCCCUAGAUCCUUUUGGCCAGGCACUUUUCCAGCCACUCUUCUCCCAGUCCGUAGUGCUGCCUGGGGUUGUUGUGACCCAAAGGCAGAACCCGGCACUUUGCCUUGUAGAACCUCAUACCGCUGGCCUCAAUCCAUCAAUCCAGCCUGUCC